AAGGGCGUAUGGCGGAUGCCUAGGCUUUCAGAGGCGAAGAAGGACGUGGUAAGCUGCGAAAAGCUCGGGGGAUUGGCACACACGAAUUGAUCCCGAGAUGUCCGAAUGGGGCAACCCGGCAUGUUGAAGACAUGUCACCUCGUAAGAGGAGCAA
rnacentral:rRNA from 9 species